AUCCCGUCUUAGGUAUUUGUCUUUAGACAUUGCCAAAAGCUUCUCAGAGGAGCAAAUCAACCAGUUGAGAACCACUGGUUUAAAUUCCUCUCUUUUAUUGGAUGUCUAGAAAAAUAGAUUCAACAGUGAAUGAUGGGGAGAGAGGAGAAAAAGGAGCUUUAGUAGGCUUAUAAAGGAAUUGGCAUUUUGACCGGGUCUGGAACAGUCAGUUGGAUUUUGUCUGGUGGAAGAUUGGCUGGUGCAAUAGAGAGUAGGGAGAGAAAUUCUAGGUCAAGGAAACCCAAGAAAAAAUGAGAGCAGAGAUUUAGGUCAAAUGGUUUAGUAUAAUCUCAGCGUAAGAUAUCUGUGAUGGGGAAAUUUUUGGAAAGGUAAGUGACAGAUUACAAAGGCCCUGAAUGCUCGGAUAUGGAACUUGGACAUGAGCCUGCAGAGAAGUGAUCACAUCUUUCAUUUUGAGCAAUAAGUCUGACUUGAAAAAGUGGGAACUGGGUGCUGGGAAACCAGUUAGUUGUCUACUGUAAUAGUUGGGAAUAAGAAGGCCUGACUUGGGCGAUGGGAACCGGAAUUGGAAGCUUCAAGUGUCCUCAUUUCCUCAAUAUUAAAGGAACCGAAGAGGGCGUUGGAGAUAAACAGUGGUUAAUGAAGAUUUCACAGACAUAUUUGUCUAUUCAAAGAAACACUCUCUUAAUUCAAGGAAAGUACCUCACCAGUGGGAAUUUCAGGGGGUGCAUGCCCUUACAACCACACCUAGGAAGCAGCACCUUAUUUAAUUGGUGUGUUGUCAGCUCAGGGUCUAAUUAUAGCAAUUGCCUAUCACAAAUGGUAUUGGUGCUUGAGGUUAAAAAGGGAACUAAUACUUCCUAAUGAAGCCUCUUUAAAUUUGCAUCCGAAGGCAAAGCAGCCUACGGAAGAACUGAAGUUCUUUGAGAAGGAACUCAGUGCUUUUGCCCUUGACACCUCGGUUCCUAAUCUUAGUAAGAGAAAGGGAACUACCCUUUUCUCUCAGGUCUGCUUGGAAGAUGAAGCCAGUUUGACUUUCUGCCAACUACUGCUGUCUCUUAAAAAAAAAAAGGUUCUUGGAGACACAGGACAGCAGAUCCUGACACCUAGCAAUGGAGUGAAUAAUCAGACAUGGCUUAUGUGUCCCCAUCGUCUUCGAUUGUAUUUCACUGGCUUCCCACUGGAAAGUGUGCCACACGAUUGACUGCUGCAGGCUCAGAAAGUUUUGCUAACUAUAGAAAAAACGGUGACAAGGAAGUUGGAAGAUUCUGGAGGGGCUCCUGGAAGACUGCUUGAUGUCUGCCAGAAACACCCAACCACUCCCGGGCAAAUUCAGGCAUGAUUCUUCUCUUGCUGAGCCUCAGUUUCUUCAUUGACAAAAAGGAGGACCUACAGUUAGAGCCAAGCCAACUGUGAUGGCCCAGGGGUGAGUGGCAAAUGACCCCUAAGAAGUGUGAGCUACAGUCACUCAACGAAUGUGCAGAGAUUUCUCUCUGGCGGAGCUCUGUGUAGCUGCUUCAGUAAUCAACUUAUUUUCUUACAAAGAAAAAAAAAAAAGGCUAUCUACCCUGCUCAUUAUAAAUCCAUCCAUCAACCCAAGCCCAGGAAGACAAUAGUUGAAGAGCAGUUGGAAAGGGAGGGAUUGAGUGAUGGCCGGUUUCCAGAUCAGAGUCAACACUGCGAAACACUUUGCAAGAUGGCAUGCUCUUAGCAGCUACAGAAGCAAGAAAUUGGCUAUAAACCCCUGAAAAUGGGAGCAAGGACUCUUCUAUUUGAAACAGUAAGAUAUCCAGGUCCCCAGACUGUCAGAGUGUGGACCACAUCCAUGCUCUGUCCAGGCCCUCAGAGUGCAAACACCUUGGGGAAGAAGCUCCAUUUUGUGCAAUUUCCUUCUUCACGUCUGUCAGCCUCCCAGAAAGCUCUGCUCAGAGAAGGUGCUCAGAAAAUGUAGGCUAAUUCACAAUAGCCAAGCUAUGGAACCAACCUACAAGCCCAUCAACAGAUGAAUGAAUGAAUGAAUGAAUGAAUGAAUGAAGAAAUUGUCGUGUAUCAUUCAGCUAUAAAGAAGAAUCAUUUUAUGACAUUUGCUGGUAAAUGGAUGGAUCUGGAGACUAUCGUGCUAAGUGAAAUAAGCCAAUUCCCAAAACCCAAAGGUUGAAUGUCCUCUCUGAUAUGUGGAUGUUAACCCACAAAAAAGAGAGUGAGGAGAUUAGAAGUUCAAUGGAUUGGACAAAAGGGAAUGAAGGAAAGCGAGGGACAGGAAUAGGAAAGACAGUAGAAUGAACCUGACAUAACUUUCCCGUGUACAUGUAAGAACACACAAGAGUGUAAUCUCAACAUUGUAUACACCCACAAGACUGGGAUCUAAUUAGAAUAAGAUGUAUUCCAUGUUUGUAUAAAUAUAUCAAAAUAGAUUCUACUGUCAUAUGUAACUAAAAGAACAAAUAAAAAAUAAAAUGUUGGCUGA